GGCGGUUUUCUGCGGCCUACGCCUAAGACUGCAAAUCCUUGCACGCCGGUUCGAUUCCGGCUCGGGCCUCCA
rnacentral:tRNA from 1 species